AAAUAUGAAUACGUUGUACCGUAGACAGUAGGUGCGAGAAAUCGCUUAAUUUCCUGCCGAGGUGUUUAAAAAGCAAAUUAGAUAAAUCGUUAAGAUUAUCAUUUGUAUAAAAAACCUCCAUGUCUGCAUGGGGGUUUUCUUAUGGUUUA
rfam:Virgibacillus necropolis strain LMG 19488 chromosome, complete genome.